GACGAACGCUGGCGGCGUGCCUAAUACAUGCCAGUAGAACGCUGAAGAGAGGAGCUUGCUCUUCUUGGAUGAGUUGCGAACGGGUGAGUAACGCGUAGGUAACCUGCCUUGUAGCGGGGGAUAACUAUUGGAAACGAUAGCUAAUACCGCAUAACAAUGGAUGACACAUGUCAUUUAUUUGAAAGGGGCAAUUGCUCCACUACAAGAUGGACCUGCGUUGUAUUAGCUAGUAGGUGAGGUAACGGCUCACCUAGGCGACGAUACAUAGCCGACCUGAGAGGGUGAUCGGCCACACUGGGACUGAGACACGGCCCAGACUCCUACGGGAGGCAGCAGUAGGGAAUCUUCGGCAAUGGGGGCAACCCUGACCGAGCAACGCCGCGUGAGUGAAGAAGGUUGUCGGAUCGUAAAGCUCUGUUGUAAGUCAAGAACGAGGGUGAGAGUGGAAAGUUCACACUGUGACGGUAGCUUACCAGAAAGGGACGGCUAACUACGUG
rnacentral:rRNA from 1 species